GAGUGGGGUGAGGGGGAGAGGCCCAGCCAGGAUCUCUUAGGGCAACAUCAGUCCAGCAAGAGCUCCAGAGACCCACCCCAGGGGCAGAAGGCCUCUGGCUGGCCAAAUUUAGGCUGCUUUGUGGUUGUAAAUGCUGCCGCCUCCAGGGCCCGAGAUGGAAUUCAGCUGAUGAUUCCAAUGUACAGCCAAUGAUGAGCAGCUGCUGGGCUGAAGGGACUGGGGCCAUUUUAUACCAGGAUGUUACACAGAAAUGCCUGAAAAGCAAGGAGCAGCUAUCAGAAUGUUUGGUGACACAGCUCCUCCUGUCGUGGUUCCUUCGGCAUGGACUUCACAUUCAGCAGAUCCAUGAGGUGUUCCCUUUCGGAUGAGCUCCAAGGUCUUAAGAGAGCAUCUCUAGUCUGCGUGAGUCCGUCUGAACGACGGUCCUGAGCAAGAACCACCUAUAACCAUCUGCUCAAAAUAACUCAGGGGAAGUCAAAGCUUUCUAUGUGGAAGGUGACUGAAACCACAUACACAGACCACUGCAGCAUUCCUGACAUUAUGGAACUUGGAAAUGAUUCCAAACAUGGCCAUAGCUUGAGUAACAUGUUUUGCUAUGACAAGAACUUGGACUGUAGUCCUUCCCCCUCUCAAGAAUGUGACAUCACACCUUAUCAGAUCCUACGAGUGAGCUACUGACCUCAACCACUGAACUUCAAACUAUGUAAAAACCUAAGGGUUCGACAGACACUUUGAGAGCUUGGGCUGUGGCAAGCUACACUCUGUCAGCCUCUCUUCGACAGGGCCCCACCCUGCUAGCCUUUGAACUUGGAAGCAUCGCCCACAAACACCAGUGCCACCCUCUAGCCUUGAGGGACCAUAUAUGUCUCUGUGAAUCUCCGUUGCAUUGGACAGCUUCUCUCCCAAGAGCUGCUCUUAUAAAAGAGACACACCACAUUUUAAUGAGGCUUCGCUCUCCACAGAGGCCUGCUUCCAUCCUAAUUGAGCAAGUAGACUUUAGUAACUUUGGAACUCACUCACCCCGUGACUAAUACACCCUGUCUACCCAGCGCAUUCCCUGUGAGAUUUGUUCAUGUUGUUCUCCCCCUCCUUAAGCAUUGUGAACCUAGGAAAAAUAUCAUCUCUGUAGGGCAAUAAACCAUGUGAUUUGUGAAAUCAUA
ensembl:lncRNA LINC01119 long intergenic non-protein coding RNA 1119